GGGUUAGUAGGUUGGUCGUGCCUCGGUACGUACUAGCUUAUUGGUUUCUCCUUUCUGAAGAACCAUGAUGUCAUUUAUUUGGUGUCGUGGGGAAUCAGGACUGUUACUUUGAAAAAUUAGAGUGUUUAAAGCAGGCUCACGCUUGAAUACAUUAGCAUGGAAUAAUGAAAUAGGACGUUUGAUUCUAUUUUGUUGGUUUCUAGGAUCGACGUAAUGAUUAAUAGG
rnacentral:rRNA from 1 species